GAUGAACGCUAGCGGCAGGCUUAAUACAUGCAAGUCGAGGGGCAUCAAGGUACACGAAAGUGUAUUGUUGGCGACCGGCGGACGGGUGAGUAAUAGGUAGGUAACCUACCUCAUACUGAGGCAUAGCUGGGAGAAAUUCCAGGUAAUUCCUCAUGAGGUUAUAUGACACAUGUGAUAUAAUCAAAGGUAUCGCAAGGUACUGGUAUGAGAUGGGCUUACUGACCAUUAGCUAGUUGGUGAGAUAAGAGCUCACCAAGGCGAAGAUGGUUAGGGGUUUUGAGAGAGAGAUCCCCCACAUUGGAACUGAGAUACGGUCCAGACUCCUACGGGAGGCAGCAGUAGGGAAUAUUGGGCAAUGGGCGGAAGCCUGACCCAGCCAUGCCGCGUGAAGGAGACGGCCUUAUGGGUUGUAAACUUCUUUACUAUGCGACUAACUAGAUUUACGAGAUAAUUCUAUAGAAUGUAGCAUAGACAAAAAGCACCGGA
rnacentral:rRNA from 1 species